UACAAUAUUUGACUCUUCGUCUUAUUCAGAAAAAUUUUAUAAUUAAUAAUUUUAUUUUUGUUAGAUAAUAAAACAUUAAUAGUAUUUUAUGUGUGACCGAUUAUUUUUAAAAUUUUUGAAAUUUUUUUCAAUAAGACGGAUGGUCAAACAAUUGACACAGAAACC
rnacentral:pre_miRNA from 1 species